UGGGGAAUGGUAUAAUGGUAACACUACGGUUUUUGGUACCGUCAGUCUAGGUUCGAGUCCAAGUUCCCCAUCCA
rnacentral:tRNA from 1 species